CACAGGCCUAGUGGGUAGCCCUCCCACCAUCAAACCCAUCCACAAAAUUCACCCCUAUGAAUCAUUUGCAGCUAAAUCACCCUGCUUGGUAUGCAAGGCUUUCUGGUCAUUAUAGGAAUAAUGGUGAGGAAAUGAUGCAGUUUUUUUUAGCAAACAGAAUGCAUAUGCAGCUUAAAUUGACAACAAAUACGCUCUUAAUGUCAGCAAAACCCAGAGGCUCUAAUUAAGGGUUAAAUCCAAACAGAGUGCCUACUUUGGGGAGUUAAUUGCUCCCUGGUUUGUGCGUCAUUACUUGAUCUUGGAGAAGGGGGCUGCUGGAAUAUAAAAAAUUAAGCCGGCAUUUGCAUCCCUACCAUAAAAAGAUAACUUGCAAGAGGAAAGUAGCUUGUGGCAGAGCUGUAUCAGACAGUAUUUCACAUGCAUCCUCCUUUCUGCCUGUUUCUUCUCCUCCUGAUCUCUGUAUCCAGGACAAUGGGGGCUGCUGUGCUUCCAUCACAGGAAAAACUUCUAUGGAAAGAUCACAAGCUCCCACAGGACCAAACAGAUGCACAGAGAAGCUCCCUGCCCACAUUCCUGUCUGCGCUGUCUGACUGGAUGUCCCAGGUGAAUGAAGCGCCCCUGGCUGAGGCAGCAGUAGAGCUAGCCAAGCGGCAAGAGAGGGAUGCCCUUCAUCCGUCCCCAGCCAGGGAAAAGUCUCCCUGCAGGAAUUUCUUUUGGAAGACUUUCUCCUCUUGCUAGCAGAAUAGCUCAGUGAAGCUGUACUGUAGAAUGGCUUUAGCACCACCCACCUCACUCCAGAUGAAUGUUAUCAGUGCCUGCUCUCAUCUGUGAACAAAUACUCUCUCUCUGUAAUAAGUGAUUAGACACUUUUCCUCUCUAAUUCUCUAACCAACCUGAACAGUAUGCGAAUCAGAAUUCAUUGUGAUUGAAACAGAUUAAGCCUGAUCCAAUUGAAAUGUAAUUCAGAUAGUAUCAAAACAGCACAUUUCAAUGAUAAAGCAGAAUAUUAUCUGCCUCAUCCUGUUGUUUUCAUUCACCCCAAAUCCUCAUUGCCUAAUAAAAGGAUGGACAGCAGGAUCAGGUUUAACAAAUAUCUAUGUCAUUAUCUGUAGUAGAGAUGCAAGGAUUGUCGUUUCAAUGCCUGCUUUUUAGGUUUCUUAUAGCCCCAGCUGGUACAGCCCUAUUUGCACAGAGUCUUUCCUCUGGAAAAGAUCUUUUUCAUCAUUUAUUUGAAAGCUUUACCAGGAGACUUUAGUUUGUGCAUAAUUUUUUCUAGUCUCUACACAUUUUUCCUCUCAUGCUGGUAUAAAUUUCUAGGGGGGUGUCACUUCUUUUUAAUGUUAGCCUGUGCAUAGAAGACACGGCUUUGAUUACUGUUAAAUAACAUCACAACAGGCAAAUUUAAGCAAGACUUAAAUGGAGGGUGGGUAUUUUUUGUUUUUAAAGGCUAACUGGAAAAAAACUGAAAAUAAAUAGCAGGUUUUAAAAGUUUC